rnacentral:rRNA from 1 species
AUUGAACGCUGGCGGAAUGCUUUACACAUGCAAGUCGAACGGCAGCACGGACUUCGGUCUGGUGGCGAGUGGCGAACGGGUGAGUAAUGUAUCGGAACGUGCCCAGUCGUGGGGGAUAACGUAGUGAAAAUUACGCUAAUACCGCAUACGAUCUAUGGAUGAAAGCGGGGGAUCGCAAGACCUCGCGCGAUUGGAGCGGCCGAUAUCAGAUUAGGUAGUUGGUGGGGUAAAGGCCCACCAAGCCAACGAUCUGCAGCUGGUCUGAGAGGACGACCAGCCAAAAUGGAACGGAGACACAGUCCAGACGCCUACGGGAGGCAGCAGUGGGGAAUUUUGGACAAUGGGCGAAAGCCUGAUGCAGCCAUUCCGCGUGCAGGAUGAAGGCCCUCGGGUUGUAAACUGCUUUUGUACAGAACGAAAAGGUUUCUACUAAUACUAGGAGCUCAUGACGGUACUGUAAGAAUAAGCACCGGCUAACUACGUGCCAGCAGCCGCGGUAA